rnacentral:lncRNA from 1 species
GCGGGUCGGCUGGAGAUUGUGAGCCCAAGCUUAAGCUUGUAAUAAAGGCCCUUUGCUUUUGCAGGCGUGACUCGGUCUCCCUAGCAGUCUCUGGUGUUUGUUUUGGGGUGAUUUGGGGCGAUUUUAAAAACUUGGGCACAACACUCUGGCAUGGACUUUGGCCCUGUCUUUCUCAGAUUUGGGGCCUCCAGCCCCCAGAACGAACAGUGCUCCCAAACCCAGGAAGCCCAGCAUUCACGCAGGCCUCCAAGAGGAAUGGCCUCCAGUUUGUGGGAACUUCCGGUUCGAAGGAAAAACUUCGCAGCAAUGACAGAGCCAGUGAGGUCAUGAUGAUCACCAUGACCACAACGGUAAGGUUCUACCUCCCUUAACGGACCCUAGAGGGCCCCGCUUCAGAAGGUUCUGUGAGGCUUUCCUGGGGGACCAAGAUGGGUCAUGGGGGUCGGUGAUUUAAUUUUAUUUUUGAGAGACCUAGAGUGUGAGCAGGGGAGGGUCAGAGAGAGAGGGAGGGAGGCACAGAAUCAGAAACAGACUCCAGGCUCUUGAGAGGACCAAAAACCCAGGAGAAAAAACAAAAAAACCCUCUAAUCUGAUGCAAUAGCCAGAGCCUGUCGCCGUAACCCCCACCCGUUCUGCUUCUGUAAUGACGCUUGGGGCGGGACCCAAUCAAUUGGCUCCACAUGCUCUGACUUAUACUUCCGACCGAUGCCCAUUCUAUAGCUGUGAAGCGCCCCAGAACUUGUGUGCAUCUGCCUAGAAAGGAAAUGUAAAUCGCCAGCUCGGGGCUCUCUGGUUCUCUCUGCUCCACUAGCUGGGGUGGGCGGAGGCCCAGGUUCGAACCUGCAAUAAACGACCCUUGCUUUUUGGCUUUGACUCUGGACUCUGGUGUGUCUUUCUUGGGGUCCCCCGUGAUACGGGCAUAACAUUUGGAGGUCCCACAGAGAUUUGACGACCCCCAGAGGGGCCACCACAUUCCGGGUCAAUGGGUCGCCAUUGAUACCGAUCGGUAAGUGAGCCGGCUCCGUCCGUCCCGUUUGUUGCUUGUUGUCUGUUUGUUGUUUGUUGUUUGUUAUCUGUCCGUUCUGGCGUUAAUCGUGUUAAUCUGCAAACUGGACCUUGGAACUGCCGGUAAAGCUCGAGUGUGGUGUAGGGGCUGGCAGACGUUCUGGCAGACGCGCUAUAGGGCGCCAGCCCGGGGCCCGGAGACGUCCGUGGACUCCCCUCUGGGCACUGUGUGUGCCAUCGGGGCGCUGGGUGCACCAUCGGGGUAUCAGCCUCCAAGCUUGACAUACAAGUUUCUUGUACUAA